rnacentral:tRNA from 1 species
GGGCCGGUAGUUCAGCGGUAGAACGCUUCUCUGAUAAAGAAGAGGUGGAUGGUCCGACUCCAUCCCGACCCA